AAUGAACGCUGGCGGCAGGCCUAACACAUGCAAGUCGAGCGGAGCGGCGGACGGGCGAGUAAUUCCUAGGAGUAUGCCUGGCAGUGGGGGAUAACGUCCGGUAACGGGCGCUAAUACCGCAUACUAUUAGAUGAGCCUAGGUCGGAUUAGCUAGUUGGGGGGGUAAAGGCCUACCAAGGCGACGAUCCGUAACUGGUCUGAGAGGAUGAUCGGUCACACUGGAACUGAGACACGGUCCAGACUCCUACGGGAGGCAGCAGUAGGGAAUAUUGGGCAAUGGGCGAAAGCCUGAUCCAGCCAUGCCGCGUGUGUGAAGAAGGUCUUCGGAUUGUAAAGCACUUUUAUUUGGGAGGCGUUACCAACAGAAUAAGCACCGGCUAACUUCGUGCCAGCCGCCGCGGUAAUAC
rnacentral:rRNA from 1 species